rnacentral:lncRNA from 1 species
AAUGGGAUGCCAAUGGAUUCUAGAAAGCAGCAUGGUGUUAGCAAUGGUAUGGGGCCAGGCCGGCCUGGUGGUGUUAGCAAUGGUAUGGGGCCUGGCCGGCCUGGUGGUGCUAGCAAUGGUACCGGGCCUAGCCGACCUGGUGGUGUAAGCAAUGGUACUGGGCCUGGUCGGCCUGGUGGUGCUAACAGUGGUUCUGUUCCUGGCCGGGCUGGUGCUGCUAGCAAUGGUGCAGGGUCUGGCCGGCCUGUUGGCGCAAGCAAUGGUGCAGGGUCUGGCCGGCCUGCUGGCCCUAAAGCUGUGCCUUCAAAGAUGCCUAUCGCAAAGAUGGAGAAGAAGAUUCCUCCACCUACUUCUAGGAAUCUCCCACCUAGUGCGCACAAAGCACCCCCCUCAAAAAUGCACUCAUCUGAUUCAAGA